UACGUAGGGUGCAAGCGUUGUCCGGAAUUAUUGGGCGUAAAGAGCUCGUAGGCGGUCUGUCGCGUCUGCUGUGAAAACUCGGGGCUUAACCCGGGCCGCAGUGGGUACGGGCAGACUAGAGUGCGGUAGGGGAGACUGGAAUUCCUGGUGUAGCGGUGAAAUGCGCAGAUAUCAGGAGGAACACCGGUGGCGAAGGCGGGUCUCUGGGCCGUAACUGACGCUGAGGAGCGAAAGCGUGGGGAGCGAAGCAGG
rnacentral:rRNA from 1 species